rnacentral:tRNA from 1 species
CGGGGUGUGGCGCAGCUGGUAGCGCACUUGGUUUGGGACCAAGAUGCCGGAGGUUCGAAUCCUCUCACUCCGACCA